AGAGUUUGAUCAUGGCUCAGAUUGAACGCUGGCGGCAUGCUUUACACAUGCAAGUCGAACGGCAGCACGGGGGCAACCCUGGUGGCGAGUGGCGAACGGGUGAGUAAUAUAUCGGAACAUAUCCGGAAGUGGGGGGAUAACGUACCGAAAAGGUACGCUAAUACCGCAUAUGCCCUGAGGGGGAAAGGAGGGGAUCGCAAGACCUUUCGCUUUCGGAGUGGCCGAUAUCGGAUUAGCUAGUUGGUGAGGUAAAGGCUCACCAAGGCGACGAUCCGUAGCUGGUCUGAGAGGACGACCAGCCACACUGGAACUGAGACACGGUCCAGACUCCUACGGGAGGCAGCAGUGGGGAAUUUUGGACAAUGGGGGCAACCCUGAUCCAGCCAUGCCGCGUGAGUGAAGAAGGCCUUCGGGUUGUAAAGCUCUUUCAGACGGAAAGAAACGGUUACGGCUAAUACCCGUGACUAAUGACGGUACCGUCAGAAGAAGCACCGGCUAACUACGUGCCAGCAGCCGCGGUAAUACGUAGGGUGCGAGCGUUAAUCGGAAUUACUGGGCGUAAAGCGUGCGCAGGCGGUUUUGUAAGACAGGCGUGAAAUCCCCGGGCUUAACCUGGGAACUGCGUUUGUGACUGCAAGACUAGAGUGUGGCAGAGGGGGGUAGAAUUCCACGUGUAGCAGUGAAAUGCGUAGAUAUGUGGAGGAAUACCGAUGGCGAANNNNGCCCCCUGGGUCAACACUGACGCUCAUGCACGAAAGCGUGGGGAGCAAACAGGAUUAGAUACCCUAGUAGUCC
rnacentral:rRNA from 1 species